rnacentral:lncRNA from 1 species
GCUACCAUGGACGAUGAGGAGAGAGCCUAAGGGGGCAAUAAAGAUGGCAGAUGGGGGGUUGUGUCAGGGAUGGGACAGGUGAGGGAGCGGUGGAGGGCGAAGGGGUCGAAGAGGGAAGGAUCAGAGAAAAAAAGAAAAAAAUAUUUUUGAAGAUGGUUUGGAGAAGAAGGGUUUGGUUGUUAGGAAGAGGAUUUGGUGUGAGGUG